AUUGAACGCUGGCGGCAGGCUUAACACAUGCAAGUCGAGCGGAGAUGAGGUGCUUGCACCUUAUCUUAGCGGCGGACGGGUGAGUAAUGCUUAGGAAUCUGCCUAUUAGUGGGGGACAACAUUCCGAAAGGAAUGCUAAUACCGCAUACGCCCUACGGGGAAAAGCAGGGGAUCUUCGGACCUUGCGCUAAUAGAUGAGCCUAAGUCGGAUUAGCUAGUUGGUGGGGUAAAGGCCUACCAAGGCGACGAUCUGUAGCGGGUCUGAGGGGAUGAUCCGCCACACUGGGACUGAGACACGGCCCAGACUCCUACGGGAGGCAGCAGUGGGGAAUAUUGGACAAUGGGCGGAAGCCUGAUCCAGCCAUGCCGCGUGUGUGAAGAAGGCCUUAUGGUUGUAAAGCACUUUAAGCGAGGAGGAGGCUACUUUAGUUAAUACCUAGAGAUAGUGGACGUUACUCGCAGAAUAAGCACCGGCUAACUCUGUGCCAGCCGCCGCCGUAACAC
rnacentral:rRNA from 1 species